UACGGAGGGUGCAAGCGUUGUCCGGAUUUAUUGGGUUUAAAGGGUGCGUAGGCGGCCUUAUAAGUCAGUGGUGAAAGCCCAUCGCUCAACGAUGGAACUGCCAUUGAUACUGUAAGGCUUGAGUACAGACGAGGUAGGCGGAAUUGAUGGUGUAGCGGUGAAAUGCAUAGAUACCAUCAAGAACACCGAUUGCGUAGGCAGCUUACUAGGCUGUAACUGACGCUGAGGCACGAAAGCGUGGGGAGCGAAC
rnacentral:rRNA from 1 species